rnacentral:rRNA from 1 species
GACGGAGGAUGCAAGUGUUAUCCGGCAUCACUGGGCGUAAAGCGUCUGUAGGUGGUUAAAUAAGUCAACUGUUAAAUCUUGAGGCUCAACCUCAAAAUCGCAGUCGAAACUAUUUGACUAGAGUAUAGUAGGGGUAAAGGGAAUUUCCAGUGGAGCGGUGAAAUGCGUAGAGAUUGGAAAGAACACCGAUGGCGAAGGCACUUUACUGGGCUAUUACUAACACUGAGAGACGAAAGCUAGGGUAGCAAAGGGG